AUUUACAGCUGAACAUGCCAGCUAGUCUGCCAGGUUCCCACAGUCACAGGAAAGCCAUCUUAAGGGUCCAUCUGUGCCCCAUACCAGAAAAUAAGGAACUUGGGACUCACACGAAUAUGCUGCACCCAUCCAGAGCAGGGAGGGCCACUGUACAUCAAAGAAUAGCCUUGCUGAUGCUGUUAUAAGAACAAGCCCAGCCCAGUCCUUUCAUACCCCCACAUUAAGACCUCUUCCCGAGGCCAGACACAGACAUGGCCACCCUUCUAUAGCAGCUUCUCUUCAGACAGCCAGAGCACUCUAUGCCCUUGCAUCUGUGUGAGCCAUAGCUGGGGCAGGGCUCCUGGGACUGCAGUCUGCUUCAGACCCUCUCCUAUUGGGUGAUUUACUGCUUCCUGCCAUCUCCAGGUGCUCUCGCCCCACUCCUACCCACUAAGCAGCUUGUCACCAGUUCCACACUGAUGACCCUAGCAACCCUGGCCCUGUUCCAGGUGGCACACAUCACGAUGCCUCUAGCAAGCUCUGAGGAUUGCCUACUGAAGCCAGAACUUGAGCAAUGAAGACCCUGAAGAAUGAUCGAGAACCACAGACUGCUCACCAGGAGAAGACAUAAAGCAGGAAACAGUGGGUAAGACUGCAGCAUAUGCAACAGUGUAGAAGAGAACGUGGUGAGGAGGGAAGGCUUUAGACCACAGUCUGACUGUCCUAGACAGUGCCCAUGGCCUGCCUGCAGAGCAGGACCCUAUGGCCAGGGCCAAGGCCCAGCCAGCACCGACCCCUGGGCUAGACAAAGAACCCCUGAACUCGUCAGGAAUGGAAGGUGGCAGGCUGCCUGGCACAGCCAAUGUGUGCUGAGGCUGCAGCUGGUUCCAGAAGAUACCACAGAUUCUGCAAUAUUUCAAAGCCAUCAGGAUCCUAACAGCAGUGUCUACAGGUCAAGGCAGCAGGCUGAGCCUAGCCAUGUAGGUCUCCCUCUUAGAAAAUGGAGUCAGGUUCCUCCCCAAACCUGUUACCUACACUGCCACCUCUAACUAGGGACAUGGGCACUAUGGGUGAUCGAUCACACUACUGUAAGGAGCAGGGCAGUACGGUCCACUCAUCCUUAGGAGCAGGGCAUCUGGUAUUGGCUUGGCCCUAUGAAUGCUUGCAGGGGACCUGCCAGCUCUCUGAAAUGCAAGGGUACCAGGAUUACAUCACCAGCGUUCGGGCUGCAGGAUGCGUACAAACACGUCCAUGGAGAUCUUGACCAUGUCCUUUCGACAUGUACACUGUGGAAACACGCAGAGGCACUGAGUCUCACACCAGGCACCUGCCUCCCACGCUGCGGACACAGCCCAGUAUGAGAUGAGACUGCUAGUUCAGGCCCCUCUCUGGCCUCACCACACAUCUAGAAUGCCCUUAAUGGAGAGGAAGAAAACAGAGGGUGAUCAACACAGCAAGUGACGGCAGAGCUGGUGCGCAGAACUCACAGGCAAAGAAGAGUUAGAAUCUGCAGUGUGCACAUUAAGCACAGACUGGCCCAGAGGAAUGAGCUGCCACGUGCUUCCCAACCUGGAGCCAAGCUUGGACAGCCCACCUGGACCAGCUUGCAAUUCUGCAUACAGAGGUUAGGGAGUCCAUGGCGCCCACCUCCCUACACAGGCUACCUUGUCUUACUUUGUGAACAGAUGGCAUCCUGCAGCCAUCACUCUGCGUCCUGCUGCAGCCAUGGAGUCACUCUGCAGCCUAAGAUCCUGAUGGAGACCAAUUGUCCAUCUCAGAUCCUUCUACGUCACUGACUAUCAGGAGCCUAGCCAGGUCAAUGAGAUCCUCAGAGACACGAAGGUGACAUGUCGUUCAAGGCUACCCAAGUCACAGAAGUGCUUGUCUAAUGAAGUUGAAACACUGGAGUGUGGCUGGCAAACACGGGACAAAGGCCCCAUACUUCCCUUGUGGUGCUGGACCAGGGCUCUGUGCCUAGCUAAACCUUGCCCCAAUGCCCCUGGGCCCAGGGUCAUCCCCAUUAACAGACUGUGCCUGUAUACCAUGCAUUUCUAGAGAUUGAAGACUGCUGGGAGGUGUCUCAUUUGUAGUAGGGUGCAUACAUGCUUAUUCCAGCUCUGCUGAGAGUUGCAAGCCCUUGACUUCCUGGCUCCUUUAGGGCUGUGUCAGGCACAAAGGUUCUGCCUCAAUUGCGACCCUGUCCCUGGGGCUCCCACACUUUGAAUCUGUUCCCUCUGCCUCACUCAGAGUCAGGCUGGGUGCACAGCAGUGAGGCCACCUGGGUUCCCAGGAUCUUCUGUGAGCUCUGAGCUCUGGUUGGAGGCUGUGUUCUUUUGACAGGCUUGGUUACACCAGAACCCGCUCAUGCGAAACAGUGAG
rnacentral:lncRNA from 1 species